rnacentral:lncRNA from 1 species
UGUGGGUGCUUUGUCUACAAGGCACGGCACACAGUGGCUAACAGUAUUCGGCGAUGUGCCCCGCACGCACCCAGCUGCUUCAACUGCACCUAUCACACCUCCGGCCGAGGUGCAAGUGAGGCCGCACAGCGCGCGUUUCGCAUGCUGAUUGACCUUGCGCGGCGGCUGGGGGAGGCGUGUACGGUGGUGUGGGAGGCGCGGGUGGUUGAGGGGUGUGGCCCCUUCGACUUUUGGCUGUGGGAGUGGGGUGUGGUGGUUGAAGUGGAUGGCAUGCAGCACACGGAUACCCCGCAUCACGGCACGGAAGCGCAAGCACAGUGGCUGGUGGAUCGGUGGAAGGAAGCAGCUGCUGUUCGCAAGCGGCUGCAUGUGGCGCGGUUGCAUGUGAUGGACAUGGUGUGCUGGGAGGCCGUGGUUGCGCGUGCACUGUGUGCUGCUCGUAACGGCAUUCCGCCGUGCGUGCACUACAGCGACUACUACCUGCGGCCUGUGAUUACACAGUCAUGAGCUCCCAACGCACCUGGUACUGUAGCUCGGGUGGCGGCGUGUAGGCCCUGCCUGUGGUGCCGGCAACAGGCUCCCAUCGCACGACGCCGAAGGCAGGGCACACGGUGAUGAUGUACUUGAUGGUGUUGGGUCGUGAUGAUCCGCAGCGGUAGUCCUCAAUGGUGAUGCUCUGCCCGCGCGGGCCUGCAGUCCAGGCGGUGUAGUCGGUUGGGUUGCAGAUGAAGGUCUUUUCGUCGGUCAUGGCGAAACCGUUGAAGAUGGUUAAGUUGAGCCAUGCGUCGCUUUCAAACUCCGCUGUGCCAAUGUCUGGUGGCAAGGGAAAGGCGCCAUCGCUGACACCGUACUCCCUUUCAGCCUCCACGGCUGAGACCAUCUUCACGCCUGGAGCAUUGGGGUUGACAAGCUUGCGCAACCACGCUGCUGAGCGGUCCAGCCGGUCACCCCACUGCUCGGGGCUGAGGAAGGGGCGGUGCUCCACCUUUAAGUUCUUUUGGAGGGUUGGAUCGUAGUGUUGCAUGGAGCGCCACAGGGAUUUGAAAGUGAUCUUGUGGGAUUUGAGAACGUCUUGAAAGGGCGCGUCGUGCUCGUACUUGGCGGCAGAGUCAUAGUGGACGCUCUUGACGUGGUCGACCAGGGUUUUCAGGAUGGGGUCCGACACCGUGCGCGGCCGGCCUGGGCGUGGCUUGGGCUCUGUCCCGCCAGUGUGCACGUAGCGCACGUACCACUUCUUAAUCUGCUCUGCCAUAUGCUUGGGUGAUGCCUCCCAUGGUGUGUAAUCAACUGGCUGCGGGAAGAUCUCUGGGCAUGCCUCGCGUGCCUUGAACUCCGCCACGGCAAUGGGGCCCCAGCGCUGAGGUGUGGUGCCACGUGUGGUAAGCCCAGAACGGUAACAGGCCUGAAUGGCAAUGGCGGCUACUAGCGCAGCUACCAUUCGCCGCCAUGCGUCCGUUGACAGGUUGGAAUAGAUGGUGCCAGUGGUAGCAUCCAUCCUUUCACCUGUGUGCGUCGGUGAUGGGGUUUGCGGGUGCGUGGUGAGAGAGGGGGACAGGUGCACGCUAUCAUGAACCAGGCUAAAUUCGUAAUAAUUCGCCCCCCAUGCGCCACAAACCCCACCCAACCUGAAACCCCUUAGUUCCCCAGAUCCAUUUCCACGUCACUGUGUCGCACAAUUCCGCCGACCUUUGCGCACCCCAGCAUAUGUGUGCCCGCGGUUUCCAAUGCUCUAUUGAAUGCACCAAAAGCCAGCCCAGGCCCUGCGUCCUAGGGCCCAAACGAGCUCCUCCGUACAAUGUUUGCUCGCACACUCCGGCGCACGCGAUUAGGUGUCGCGCGCUACUGUAUGGUAGCCCUUGUGUCGCACAAGUGGUUGGAGCGUGUUUGGGGUGAGUUGGCGCGGCAGGGUGGUGUCGCGCCCAUGCUGCCCCGCUUGCGGGGCUUGUUCCCGGCCGGUCUCUGAUGGCUAUGGUGUAGUCCUAUGAAUUAUCUGUGCGCGGGUUGGUGCCCGGCGAAUUUCUGUUGCAUGGGGCCUGCGCGCAUGGCGUGCCCCUCGGGGGGUAAUCGCGCUCGGAUCACAUAAGGGCCGCUCGAACUAAAAUUUGCCACUCAUACAAUAAUUACAGCUACUGUAUGUCUACUCGCCCAUGUGUAGCACGCUUGGGCGCUAGCUCGCAUUUGAGAGAACCAACACCCUUGCUCCCCCCAUUUUCGUCAAAACCAACAUUCUGCAAAUUGAUACUGUAGUUCUCACUCUGAGUAGCAGCUACGGCUGUCGUUCCCGUGGUUGAGAGCCCUUACCGUUGUGGUUCUACUGUGGAGGCAGCGGGCGUAGCGACCGGGCGCAAGCAGCCGAGCGGGCGGUGGAGAACCAGUCGCAAAAGUCUGCGGAAUUGUGGGAUCCAGUGAAGGCGGGUUCGUGUGUCGGUUGUGACAGAGCGAGGUGAGCCCGAGCGCGAAGCCCAGCUGGCGCUACAACCUUUGGGUCAAAAGUCAACGAUAGCCGCUGCGGGCCAGGCGCGUGGCCUCGCUGGGUCGCUGGUUGCACCCAGCAUGGCGUUUCGCAAGCUUAACUGGUUUUGGUUGCAAGUUCCUUCGCGGCGAUGCUCCAAUUGCGCCCUAUGCACUGGUUGCAGGUCGUCGGCGGUGUUCCGGCGUCAUGCUUCCGUGGCAAAAUGUAUGAUGCGCUCCGGUCAUCGAGUCGCAUGUGCCGGAGGGACCAAUAGCAGGCAGCGCAGCUUAGAAUUGCAAUCGGUGAGUAUAUGUAGACAGCCACUACUAACGUGUAUCAUUAGCGACCAGUCAUACUUGUGGCGCGUCGGCACGCCGCACGCGUGCCCGCCGUCACUCACCCCAAAGGGGUCUGUUCCCGACACUCGCGCCAGCCGUACCGAUGCGCCAGCAUUUCGCGCAACCAUACCAUCUGACGGAGCGCUAUGCGCAAUCAUCGCUUACCGAAUGCCGGCUCAGGUUCCUAUCCGCAACUGCUCCAUCCCCACUAAGUUACGGUACUCACUUCCCCUCCUUCACACCCUUUCCUGCCUGCCUCCACCCUCAGCGAAACUUCUUGGCCGGCCAGUGCCCGCCCGCCUUCAGCACCGCCGGCAACGUGUGUGCCAGCAUCCGCUUCAUACAGUCACGCACAAACUGUGGCGUGAUGACCUUCUGAACCACCUUCUCCAUCUCGUCCAGGUAGGGCUGCAGGGGGUCCUCGCCAGCCUCGGUGGGCCGCCGUGCGUUGCAGAACUGCCGCAUGACGAGGGCAACGGCCGCGUGCGACUGCUCCACUGGGCAGUGCAUGUCGCCGCUGUACGUGGGAAGCUUCAUGAAAUUGGCCUUAGUGACGCCCACACCACGGAAGUCAGCAAUCUCGCCGUUGCCGUGGCAUGCCGGGUUGUCCCAUGACACGUAGGGCUUGAUAGGGGCCACGGGCGGGGGUGGCGGCGGCUUCCUCUUACCCCGCCGGCCCUGCUUCUGCGCGGCCUUCACCGCCGCGGUUUGCUUUGCAGCCAGCCUUGCAGCCUUCUCCCGGAACGCGCCCAGCAUGCGCCCUAUGUACUUAACAAACUCCGCCUUCGUGAUGAACCUUGCAUCCUUCCCCGCCAGGGUCUGCGGUGGUGACAGGCAGUGGCGGGCGGCAGCUUGAGCAUGGCGCGUGGAGGACACAACCGGCGGCGCUUCCCACCCUCUGUGGCAGCGCGAUACAGCCCCCUGAACCGGGAGCCGCUAAACGCACGGGGGACAGAUGACCGGCGGCCCGUGCUGUGGAGGCUGCAGUGUGGGUGCUUUGUCUACAAGGCACGGCACACAGUGGCUAACAGUAUUCGGCGAUGUGCCCCGCACGCACCCAGCUGCUUCAACUGCACCUAUCACACCUCCGGCCGAGGUGCAAGUGAGGCCGCACAGCGCGCGUUUCGCAUGCUGAUUGACCUUGCGCGGCGGCUGGGGGAGGCGUGUACGGUGGUGUGGGAGGCGCGGGUGGUUGAGGGGUGUGGCCCCUUCGACUUUUGG